rnacentral:rRNA from 1 species
GUCGAACGAGUUCUCGUUGAUGAUCGGUGCUUGCACCGAGAUUCAACAUGGAACGAGUGGCGGACGGGUGAGUAACACGUGGGUAACCUGCCCUUAAGUGGGGGAUAACAUUUGGAAACAGAUGCUAAUACCGCAUAGAUCCAAGAACCGCAUGGUUCUUGGCUGAAAGAUGGCGUAAGCUAUCGCUUUUGGAUGGACCCGCGGCGUAUUAGCUAGUUGGUGAGGUAAUGGCUCACCAAGACGAUGAUACGUAGCCGAACUGAGAGGUUGAUCGGCCACAUUGGGACUGAGACACGGCCCAAACUCCUACGGGAGGCAGCAGUAGGGAAUCUUCCACAAUGGACGCAAGUCUGAUGGAGCAACGCCGCGUGAGUGAAGAAGGCUUUCGGGUCGUAAAACUCUGUUGUUGGAGAAGAAUGGUCGGCAGAGUAACUGUUGUCGGCGUGACGGUAUCCAACCAGAAAGCCACGGCUAACUACGUGCCAGCAGCCGCGGUAAUACAUAGGUGGCAAGCGUUAUCCGGAUUUAUUGGGCGUAAAGCGAGCGCAGGCGGUUUUUUAAGUCUGAUGUGAAAGCCCUCGGCUUAACCGAGGAAGCGCAUCGGAAACUGGGAAACUUGAGUGCAGAAGAGGACAGUGGAACUCCAUGUGUAGCGGUGAAAUGCGUAGAUAUAUGGAAGAACACCAGUGGCGAAGGCGGCUGUCUGGUCUGUAACUGACGCUGAGGCUCGAAAGCAUGGGUAGCGAACAGGAUUAGAUACCCUGGUAGUCCAUGCCGUANACGAUGAAUGCUAGGUGUUGGAGGGUUUCCGCCCUUC